rnacentral:rRNA from 1 species
UUACAACUCCCAAACCCAAUGUGAACGUUACCAAACUGUUGCCUCGGCGGGAUCUCUGCCCCGGGUGCGUCGCAGCCCCGGACCAAGGCGCCCGCCGGAGGACCAACCAAAACUCUUAUUGUAUACCCCCUCGCGGGUUUUUUUUAUAAUCUGAGCCUUCUCGGCGCCUCUCGUAGGCGUUUCGAAAAUGAAUCAAAACUUUCAACAACGGAUCUCUUGGUUCUGGCAUCGAUGAAGAACGCAGCGAAAUGCGAUAAGUAAUGUGAAUUGCAGAAUUCAGUGAAUCAUCGAAUCUUUGAACGCACAUUGCGCCCGCCAGUAUUCUGGCGGGCAUGCCUGUCCGAGCGUCAUUUCAACCCUCGAACCCCUCCGGGGGGUCGGCGUUGGGGAUCGGCCCUGCCUUGGCGGUGGCCGUCUCCGAAAUACAGUGGCGGUCUCGCCGCAGCCUCUCCUGCGCAGUAGUUUGCACACUCGCAUCGGGAGCGCGGCGCGUCCACAGCCGUUAAACACCCAACUUCUGAAAUGUUGACCUCGGAUCAGGUAGGAAUACCCGCUGAACUUAAGCAUAUCAAUAAGCGGAGGAAAAGAAACCAACAGGGAUUGCCCCAGUAACGGCGAGUGAAGCGGCAACAGCUCAAAUUUGAAAUCUGGUCCCCAGGGCCCGAGUUGUAAUUUGUAGAGGAUGCUUUUGGUGAGGUGCCGCCCGAGUUCCCUGGAACGGGACGCCACAGAGGGUGAGAGCCCCGUCUGGCUGGCCGCCGAGCCUCUGUAAAGCUCCUUCGACGAGUCGAGUAGUUUGGGAAUGCUGCUCAAAAUGGGAGGUAUAUGUCUUCUAAAGCUAAAUAUUGGCCAGAGACCGAUAGCGCACAAGUAGAGUGAUCGAAAGAUGAAAAGCACCUUGAAAAGAGGGUUAAAUAGUACGUGAAAUUGUUGAAAGGGAAGCGCUUGUGACCAGACUUGGGCGCGGCGGAUCAUCCGGGGUUCUCUCCGGUGCACUUCGCCGCGUCUAGGCCAGCAUCAGUUCGUCGCGGGGGAAAAAGGCUUCGGGAACGUGGCUCCUCCGGGAGUGUUAUAGCCCGUUGCAUAAUACCCUGCGG